rnacentral:rRNA from 1 species
GACGUAGGGCGCGAGCGUUGUCCGGAUUUAUUGGGCGUAAAGAGCUCGUAGGCGGCUUGUCGCGUCGAAUGUGAAAACUCGGGGCUCAACUCCGAGCUUGCAUUCGAUACGGGCAGGCUAGAGUUCGGUAGGGGAGACUGGAAUUCCUGGUGUAGCGGUGAAAUGCGCAGAUAUCAGGAGGAACACCAAUGGCGAAGGCAGCUCGCUGGAACGGUACUGACGCUGAGGCGCGAAAGCGUGGGGAGCAAACAGG